CCCGAGCGGAAGAGUGUUGACGGUGUGUGAGCUGAAGCUGUUGUGACAAUCUGUAUAUAAAAAUACAUUCUCUAUGCAGACCAAAUCUGGCGUUCUCCUGUCGGUUAUUUUCAAC